rnacentral:rRNA from 1 species
AUUGAACGCUGGCGGCAGGCUUAACACAUGCAAGUCGAGCGGAGUGAUGGUGCUUGCACUAUCACUUAGCGGCGGACGGGUGAGUAAUGCUUAGGAAUCUGCCUAUUAGUGGGGGACAACAUCUCGAAAGGGAUGCUAAUACCGCAUACGUCCUACGGGAGAAAGCAGGGGAUCACUUGUGACCUUGCGCUAAUAGAUGAGCCUAAGUCGGAUUAGCUAGUUGGUGGGGUAAAGGCCUACCAAGGCGACGAUCUGUAGCGGGUCUGAGAGGAUGAGCCGCCAAUCUGGGACUGGGCCGCGGCCCAGACUCCUACGGGGGGCAGCAGUGGGGAAUAUUGGACAAUGGGGGGAACCCUGAUCCAGCCAUGCCGCGUGUGUGAAGAAGGCCUUAUGGUUGUAAAGCACUUUAAGCGAGGAGGAGGCUCUUUUGGUUAAUACCCAAGAUGAGUGGACGUUACUCGCAGAAUAAGCACCGGCUAACUCUGUGCCAGCCGCCGCCGUAA